rnacentral:rRNA from 1 species
GUGACAGCAGCCGCGGUAAUACGGGGGGGGCAAGCGUUGUUCGGAAUUACUGGGCGUAAAGGGUUCGUAGGUGGCUUACUAAGUCAGACGUGAAAUCCCUCAGCUUAACUGGGGAACUGCGUCUGAUACUGGAAAGCUUGAGUGCAGGAGAGGAACGCGGAAUUCCAGGUGUAGCGGUGAGAUGCGUAGAUAUCUGGAGGAACACCGGUGGCGAAGGCGGCGUUCUGGACUGCAACUGACACUGAGGAACGAAAGCCAGGGGAGCAAACGGGAUUAGAUACCCCGGUAGUCC